CUUGUCGUUUCCCAUUUUGCCCCUCCCUCGCCUCACUCACUCGCGAUUCCCCUCCUCUCCUCACUCACUCUGAAAUCCCUAGCUCGCCCGCGCCGCUCUUCCUCUGGCCCGCGCCGCUCUCCCUCUCGCCCACGCCGCUCUCCCUCUGGCCCGUGCCGUUCUCCCUCUCACCCACGCGGCUUGCCUGCGUCUACGUCGCCGCUUCUCCCUUUCGCCCGCGCCGCCUCUCCCUCUCGCCGGCUUCGCAUGCGCCACCUUCUCCUGCUCAAGCCAAAGCUGGCUUUUUUACUGAAGUCCAGGAAGAGCAGCAGUAGUGCGGGGCAGACAGCCUUGUCCUGCUCGACGACGGUGGCAGCGUUCUCCGGCUCGACGACGGCGGCGACAAACGCUAGCGCUCCUCGUCUUCCUCGACCUGCAAGGAGGAGCACCGGUACUGGAGAUGCGGCUGCUGCUGCCAGGUCUGCACGACGUGGAGGUCCUGCAGAUGCGGUUGCUGCUCUGGCGGGCGAGGGGGAGUUCAAGCUGCCGGGCGACUUCAACUUCAUCUUCAUCUGCAGAUCAGGCGCGUACGAUUCGCUUGAUUCGGGUGGGAACAUUACAAUCAAGUGGGCACUGGAAUGAUCAUGUGAUGCACUGUUUGAAGUUAAGACUAAUUCAGUUCAGUCUGUUUGAAGCUAAGACAAAUUUCCUUGGCAUUUCACUAGAUGUGGUGUUAAUGGCCUGAAGAUUUUAUCAGAUUAUCCACCAUUCAUCCUGCAACCGGACUGGCAAAUACUGCUGAAUAUGUUCAGAUGCAGAAAUUGGAACAAAGGAAAACAUCACAUGCUCCGACCAGAUUAAUUUCCAACUUAGCUGGAUGCCUAGUUAUGGGAAUCGACCAGAUUAAUUUCCAACUCAGCUAGAUCCUUGCUAUGGAGACAGAGGAGUCGUAGGUUGGGCAUCGCCCCCUCCUCAAAUCCCAGGUACGCCAUAACAUCUCCUUGUCUCCCCUAUCAGUUCAGUUCAGUCUGUUUGAAGCUAAGAUCAAUUCAGUGCAUGCCCCUAUCGCUACAGAAGUGCACAUCAGCUUUCUCAUUCUUACAUGAGCAAAUUUCAUGAAAAGAAUCUUCUAUGGGAACACAUCGAUUUGGUUUUUUUUUCAAAUGCAGGAGUACUAUGGAUUACAGAAGAAUUGAUUUGUAAGAUUGCCCACAAGUGAUAUUGUGCAGAAAAUUGUGAAAUUAGUCUGACUUCUACUGUACAGAAGAAUUGAUUUGUAAGAUUGCACACAAGAAUUGAUCUGAGUUCUGCUGUUGUGCAAGGGGAGAGGCGAGGAGAACCUGCUUGGAAGCAACGUGUUGCGGCGGCGGGGACGAGCUAGGUGGGAUGGGCGCGGCGAGGACCAAUCUGGGGCGGCGACGACCAAGCUGGGCGGGGGCGGCUACCAAGCAGGCACAGCGGCGGCCAAGCUGGGCGGGCGCGGCAGCAACCAAGCGGGCGCAGAGGAGGCCGAACUGGGCACCUGGGAUCGGGACCGAGUGCCUGCAGGCGGGGCCCGCGCGCUUGGACGAAGGGGAUGACGCGAGCUCCUGCAGGAGGAAGACGGGACGCUGGAGAAGGAAGACGGGCGAGCUCCUGUAGGAAGAAGACGACGCGAGCUCUGGAGGAGGAAGACGACUCAAAUUUCAAAUCGAGGGUAAAACUGUCCAUUUCCCCAUUUGUCGGCUAUGUCUGAAAAUUGUAAACGCUCUUAUAAAAGUUUACAGAGGGAGUAUUUCGCAUUCCUUUUGAAAGCAUUACUAAUAAUGUUUUAUUUCGUUCCUCACAAAAUAUAUUUUAUUUUGAGAUUGUCAAGAAAAAAAGUGUAAUUUUGAAAAC
rnacentral:rRNA from 1 species